UUAUCCAAAUUAUUAAAGUAAAAGAAAGAAAAAAUUAGUUCACGUCUCUGCCGUACAAGAAGCCAUGGCAUUCGCCAUUCUGUAUUAACGUUCAAUCCUGUUCAAUUCUCAGAGUUCUUCAUUGAUCCCCCAGUGCUUCAACAAUCAUGCCUCAAUUUCGUUUUACACUCUCCAAAUUCAAAUCUCCUAAGAAAUCGCUUUCUACUUCAUCUUCUUCCAUUUAUUACCUACGCGCCAAUGCCUCAACUUCUCCACCUCAAUUCUCUCAUUUCAUCUCCAAGUUCACUCAAAGACAACCAAAUGUGGCAAAUCCUUCAAAAUUUCCAUCUGGGUAUUUCUCACAUUGUCAUCAGCAUCGAUAUUCCAGCUUCUCCGGGUGCCAUGGUGAAUUUAACCGCGUUUUUACUAAUGGGAAUCGGCUGAAAUACUAUGAUUUAAGAGGUUACCGAAGAGGAAAAGUUUGGAGUUGCUUGAACAUGGUCAGGAGAUUUAGUAGUGGGGCGGAACGAGAGUCUAUAGAAUAUGAUGUUGUCAUCAUUGGAGCCGGACCUGCUGGGUUAUCUGCGGCGAUUCGGUUGAAGCAAAUGUGUCAAGAAAAGGGUGUUGAUUUAUCGGUUUGUGUAGUGGAGAAAGGCGCUGAAGUUGGCGCUCACAUCCUCUCCGGAAAUGUUUUUGAACCCCGAGCAUUGGAUGAACUAAUCCCCACAUGGAAAGAGGAUGAGGCACCAAUCAAUGUCCCUGUGACUUCUGAUAAGUUUUGGUUUCUAACAAAAAAUCGUGCCUUUUCACUUCCUUGUCCCUUUAAUAAUGAAGGAAACUAUGUGAUAAGUUUAAGUCAGUUAGUUCGUUGGAUGGGAAUGAAAGCUGAAGAGCUGGGGGUAGAAAUAUAUCCAGGCUUUGCUGCUAGUGAGGUGUUAUAUGAUACAACUGACGCUGUUAUUGGCAUUAGAACUAAUGACAUGGGAGUAGCAAAAGAUGGCUCAAAGAAGGAUAAUUAUCAACUUGGUGUAGAACUGAGAGGGCGCAUAACGCUUCUGGCUGAGGGAUGUCGAGGAUCAAUAUCAGAGAAAUUAAUAAAAAAAUACAGUUUGAGGAAGAAGGUAAAUGCUCAGCAUCAGACGUAUGCUUUGGGGAUCAAAGAGGUGUGGGAAAUAGACGAGGGCAAACAUGAUCCAGGAGCUGUGCUGCAUACUUUGGGUUGGCCUUUGGACCGUAAGACGUAUGGAGGCUCAUUUUUGUACCACAUGAAGGAUAGACAGAUUUCAAUCGGCCUCGUAGUUGCUUUAAAUUAUCAGAAUCCUUUCUUGAAUCCUUAUGAAGAAUUUCAGAAAUUAAAACACCAUCCUGCCAUCAAAGAUCUUCUAGAAGGUGGGACAGUUGUGCAAUAUGGGGCUCGAACAUUAAAUGAAGGCGGUCUUCAGUCUGUUCCAUAUCCAGUUUUCCCGGGAGGAGCAAUUAUUGGAUGUUCAGCUGGCUUUUUAAAUGUACCCAAGAUUAAGGGAACGCAUACUGCAAUGAAGUCAGGAAUGCUGGCAGCUGAGGCUGCAUUUGCCACACUUCAUAGAGCCUCAAAAAUGGAUGUGUAUUGGGAUAGUUUGCAAAGUAGUUGGAUAUGGGAAGAACUUUAUCGAGCUCGGAACUAUAGACCUGCAUUUGAGCAUGGUCUUAUCCCUGGCUUGACAAUAAGUGCUCUGGAGCACUACGUGCUUAAAGGAAGGUCUCCUCUCACACUAAAGCAUGGGAAACCUGACCAUGAAGCUACAAACGUUGCAAGUUUACAUACUCCAAUUGAUUAUCCAAAGCCUGAUAAUCUUUUGUCAUUUGAUGUGCCAACCUCACUACACAGGAGCAACACAAAUCAUGAACAUGAUCAGCCAGCUCACCUUCGCUUAAGGGACGCCAGGAUUCCCGAGGAAGUAAAUUUGAAAGAAUAUGCUGCACCAGAGUCAAGAUAUUGUCCUGCCCGCGUAUACGAGUAUAUACCUGAUGAAAACGACCAAAUGAAGUUGCAGAUUAAUGCUCAAAAUUGUCUUCAUUGCAAGACAGGAAGAAUGUAGGGGAACUGUCUUUUUCUGCAUGCAGCUUUAGUUAUGCAUUUUAAGCUUUUUACCCCUGGGAAGCUUCAUCAAGAAUGUAUUUAUGUGUUUGGGGAGCAAGGGAAGAGCUGCAGGAGUAGGGGAACUGAAGGCAGUAUUAAAUUGGAAAAAAAAUCAUUGGAAGGUCUCAGCUUGUGAUAUUAAAGAUCCAAAACAAAACAUAGAGUGGAGCGUUCCGGAAGGAGGUGGCGGUCCAGGCUACUCCGUCAUGUAAAUAUGUAAUAUAGAAUGAUGUGGGAUUCUUUGAGGAUAAAUGAGAUCCUGCCUUGAACUCUUCUGCUCAAAGGGAAAAGGCUUCAUCUUUUACCAAUAAAGCAAACCGUUGAUUCAUUGUUAACA